rnacentral:rRNA from 1 species
GACGUAGGGCGCGAGCGUUGUCCGGAUUUAUUGGGCGUAAAGAGCUCGUAGGCGGCUUGUCGCGUCGUGUGUGAAAUCUCAGGGCUCAACUCUGACAUUGCAUACGAUACGGGCAGGCUUGAGUUCGGUAGGGGAGACUGGAAUUCCUGGUGUAGCGGUGAAAUGCGCAGAUAUCAGGAGGAACACCGGUGGCGAAGGCGGGGUCUCUGGGCCGAUACUGACGCUGAGGAGCGAAAAGCGUGGGGGAGCGAACAGG